AUGCCGCUCAAGCUCGCGCUCACCGUCGUUGCUCCGGCGGGCAUGACGUGCGGCAUACUGAAACUCGCGGGCGUCCCCUGGCCAAUCGUCAUCCGCAUCGCCGGCGUCCUGCUCGCCUUCCUCUUCAUCGCGGCGUUGUGCCAGCGCGCGCAGCUCCUGCAAGAUCCAGAGGGGGAUCGGUCGUCCAUGGCCGCGCUUCCGCGGGAGCCGGCCGUCGGGCUAGGACAGGCGGCGAUCGCCGGCCUGCCCGUGUACAAGUACGAGAAGCUGAGCUGCGGCGGCGGAGAGGGCCACGAGUGCGCGGUGUGCCUCGCCGAGGUCAGGCCCAAGGAGGUGGUGAAGCAGCUGCCGGCGUGCACGCACCUUUUCCAUGACCGGUGCAUCGACGAGUGGCUCUGGUCUCACAGGACGUGCCCGGUCUGCCGGUCUCCAGUCGACGCCUCCACCGUUCCGGACGUGGAAGUUGCCGCCCGUGCUAUGCAAUCUGUUUAG
rnacentral:rRNA from 1 species